AGUUGCUAUAAGAGUGAGAGAGAGUCUUUUUCGAUAGUGAGAGAGAGGUAGCGUGACAAAAUAGAAGUGUUGACUUAGGGUUUUUAAUUUGUUGUGUAAAAAAAAUAAAAAAGGAAAAACAAUUAAAAAAUAGUGUUACUUUCAUCGAGGCGUUGCCUCAGCACCUUGUCGCCCUGCGCCUCUCACGUUGGGGCGACCGCCUGCCGUAAGCAAGGCCAGGCAAGGCGCUCAAGGGACGCCUUGCCUCGGCACCUAUGGUGCCUUUAACAAUAUUGGUAUCAGUCACUAUUGCCAUGGGAGUGCAUGCAUCAGAUUAGCAAAUAUAUUUUCUAAAUAUAUGAUUCAUAAUGGUACAACUAUUAUCUCGUAAAUAAGAAAUUAUUGUCCUUUCUUGUUAUGUUCACUACAUGGAUUAGCACCCCCUUAAACUUGUCGUAUGACUUAAUCAACCAACAUUCCAAUUUCCUUUCUAUCACUUCUACUUCUCAUACAAAUCUCUCACAUCAAUCAGUGAAAAAAUGCUCACUAUCUUGAAGAUUGUUAAAUUAUUUAUCACUCCUAUCUUAAGGUACUGUGAUUUAACACAACUAAG
rnacentral:misc_RNA from 1 species